CGGUAGAGGAUGGAGUUCCAGUUGCAGUCGAAGUCCCGGAAGCACAGCCAUGGCUUCAGCCCCAGGUAGUGCAGAACGUAGAGGCCCGGCGUGUCAGCCUUGAACAGCUUCGUCUUCUUCGCUUUGACCUCCUCGGUGUCGCCCUCCCAGAAAUGCUUCAGGAAGUUAAUGUGCCUCGGAAUCCGGUGCCACCAUGUGAAGAUCUCGUUCAGGUAGCCCUGAUCCCCUCCGUUGUAAGACGUUAUCUCGUUGAUGUGAUCCAUCAGCAGCUGGAACGUGCAGUUGCAGGGCUCCACGACCAUCACGCCGGAGUUGAAGAUGGUCGCGUUGUUGCCCGUCGCGGAGAUCUCUGGCAUCCCGAACAAGAAGUCGAUGUUCCUCAGAAUCAGCAGGUCGGCGUCGAUGAAGAUGACCUUGUCGUACUCG
rnacentral:lncRNA from 1 species